CUAGGUUCGUCCGUCGACGGUCCCGCGCGAGCGGGUGAAAAGGGAAGGCCGUGCGCUCCGGCCGGGCCCCGCGCCCGGGAGCAAGUCGGCCGCUGCCCCCGCAACUGUCAGCGGUCCCCCGCUGGCCCGUCCGCCCUGCCGCCCCUUCCGGAGGCGGCAGAGCGGGUCACUGAGCCCGCGUCCUCCAUGGAGGCCGGGGCCCGGGAAGACAGGGCCCGCGAAGCCGGCAUGGCGCCCCGCGCCACGACCGGAAGCCGCGAGCCAGGAGACCUGCCGUCGUCGCUUCACCAGG
rnacentral:ncRNA from 1 species